rnacentral:rRNA from 1 species
CGCAUCUGUGCAUGCAGCAUAUCAAUAAGCGGAGGAAAAGAAACUAACAAGGAUUCCCUUAGUAACGGCGAGUGAAGCGGGAAGAGCUCAAAUUUGAAAUCUUCAAGGUUUUACCUUGACGGAUUGUAGUUUAAAGAAGUGUUUUCUGCUGAAGUUUUGGUAAAAGUUCUUUGGAAUAGGACAUCAUAGAGGAUGAGAAUCCCGUAUUUGACCAUUAUUUUCAGCUUUGUGAUACACUUUCAAAGAGUCGGAUUGUUUGGGAAUGCAGUCCAAAAUGGGUGGUAAAUUUCAUCUAAAGCUAAAUAUUGGCGAGAGACCGAUAGCGAACAAGUACCGUGAGGGAAAGAUGAAAAGAACUUUGAAGAGAGAGUUAAACAGUACGUGAAAUUGUCAAAAGGGAAGCGUUUGACACCAGUGUUGCUUUUCUGAAAAUCAAUUAAAGAACUGUUUAUGCUAAGUUGUUUAGACUUUAUCAGCUAUCUGUUUAGUUUUGAGCUUUUCUUUAAUGCACUUUUCAGUUAACAAGUCAACAUCAAUUUCUUUUGCUGUAAAAAAGCUUGAGGAAGGUGGCUUGAGAUUCGUCUUAAGUGUUUAUAGCCUCUUGCCUAUGCAGUCGGAGAGAUUGAGGUCUGCAGCGUAGAUCCUUCGGGGCUAAAUGCAUUUGUGCUAAGUUAUAGCAUUUUAUAGACAACUUGUUGACUAUGAUUUGUCUUGUAGCUUACUCGCUUAUGCUAUUUUACCUACGCUUAGGAUGUUGAUAGUCACAGCGUGUAC